GAUGAACGCUGGCGGCGUGCCUAAUACAUGCAAGUCGAGCGAACGGACGAGAAGCUUGCUUCUCUGAUGUUAGCGGCGGACGGGUGAGUAACACGUGGAUAACCUACCUAUAAGACUGGAUAAAUUUGGGAAAACGGAGCCAAUACCGGGAAAUAAUUUGAAACGCCAGGUUUAAAAGUGGAAGAACGUCUUUCCUUUCACUAUUGAUUGAUCCGCGCGGCAUUGACUGGUUGGUAAGGUAACGGGCUACCAAAGGAACCGGGCAAUACCGACCCUAGAGGGGGAUGGGCCACACUGGAACUGAGACACGGUCCAGACUCCUACGGGAGGCAGCAGGAGGGAAUCUUCCGAAAUGGGCGAAAGCCUGACGGAGCAACGCCGCGGGAGGGAUGAAGGUCUUCGGAUCGUAAAACUCUUUUAUUAGGGAAGAACAAAUGUGUAAGGAACUGUGCACAUCUGGACGGUACCUAAUCAGAAAGCCACGGCUAACUACGU
rnacentral:rRNA from 1 species